AAGGAAUUUAUCUGAAAUUAAUAGGUAGAAUUUUAAUUUUUGACAAAGACAUAAAUAAGAAACAUAGUAAUUAUAUAAUGGACCAGGAUUAGAUACCCUGUUACUUAUAAAUAAUAAAUUUUGGAAUAGUAAAAAUUAUGAAAUUUAACGGAUUUGGCGGCAAGAUAGCCAUUUAGAGGAACCUGCCCUGUGAACGAUGAACCACGAAAAACUUUACUUUUAUUUGUAAUCAGUUUGUAUACCGCUGUUGUCAGUCAGUUUCUCUAGAAAACUUUCUUAUAUAAAAAAAUUAUUUACUUCAAGUAAAGGUGCAGCUUAUAUAAAAGUUAGAGGUGGGUUACAAUUAUAGGACUAAAACGGAUUUAGUUUUUGAAAUAACUUUUGAAGGUGGAUUUAAUUGUAAGGUUUAAUAAAACUUGAUGUGAGCUCUAUCUUGUGUACACACCGCCCGUCGCUCUCUUUCUUAAAC
rnacentral:rRNA from 1 species